rnacentral:rRNA from 1 species
GACGUAGGGGGCGAGCGUUGUCCGGAUUUAUUGGGCGUAAAGAGCUCGUAGGCGGCUCAGAAAGUCGGGUGUGAAACCUCCAGGCUCAACCUGGAGACGCCACCUGAUACUGCUGUGGCUAGAGUCCGGUAGGGGAACACGGAAUUCCCGGUGUAGCGGUGAAACGCUUAGAUAUCGGGAGGAACACCAGUGGCGAAGGCAGCCUCCUGGGUCAAGAUUGACGCUCAUGCACGAAAGCGUGGGGAGCAAACAGG